UUGACAUAUAUUAGAACACUCUAGAGAUAGAGUGGUGCCUUCGGGAGCUUUUAUACAGGUGCUGCACGGCUGUCGUCAGCUCGUGUCGUGAGAUGUUGGGUUAAGUCCCGCAACGAGCGCAACCCUCGUCACUAGUUACUAACGGUUCGGCCGAGGACUCUAGUGAGACUGCCUUCAUAAGGAGGAGGAAGGUGAGGACGACGUCAAGUCAUCAUGGCCCUUACGGCUAGGGCAACACACGUGCUACAAUGGUUGGGACAAUGAGACGCAAUACCGCGAGGUGGAGCAAAUCUAUAAACCCAAUCUCAGUUCGGAUUGUUCUCUGCAACUCGAGAACAUGAAGCUGGAAUCACUAGUAAUCGUAGAUCAGCUAUGCUACGGUGAAUACGUUCCCGGGUCUUGUACUCACCGCCCGUCGCACCAUGGGAGUUGAUUUCACCCGAAGCGGGGAAGCUAAACUGGCUACCCUCCACGGUGGAAUUAGCGACUGGGGUGAAGUCGUAACAAGGUA
rnacentral:rRNA from 1 species